AACGAACGCUGGCGGCAUGCCUAACACAUGCAAGUCGAACGAUCCCUUCGGGGAUAGUUGCUCACGGGUGCGUAACGCGGGGGAACCUGCCCUUAUGUUCGGAAUAACUCAUAUAAAUUUGAGCUAAUACCGGAUAAUGUCUUCUGACCAAAGAUUUAUCGACUUUGGAUGCGCCCGCGUUGUUUUAGCUUGUUGGUGGGGUAAAGGCCUAAGAAGGCUACGAUCCAUAGCUGGUAAGAGAGGAAGAUCAGCGACACUGGGAGUGAGAAACGGCCCAGAAUAUUACGGGAGGGAGGCGAGGGGAAUACUGGAAAACGGCGGGAAGGAAGAACGAGCUAGGCCGGGUGAGUGCUGAAGGCGGUAGGGUAGUAAAGCAGUUUAACACGGGAUGAUAAUGACAGUACCGAGAGAAUAAGCACCGGCUAACUCCGUG
rnacentral:rRNA from 1 species